AAGAACGGACAGGUCUAGUACUUGAAAGGGAGACCUGCAGUUAGCUGCUGCAAGGUUCAAUAAGUGAUAUUCUUGUUGCCUCAGAGUCAGAAAUAUCCACAAACACUCAGUUAAAGGGGGUUCAUGAGCCAUAAAACUGAGCUCCUGAUCACAUAUAGUCUUGAAGUUCCUACACUACUUUUUGUAAGAGAAGAUCCAGAGGCUUACACCCCUGCAGUGACAGUAAACACCACAUUAGGGCUUUUCUCCUUUAGCUCUUGUAAAGAGAAAGCUUCCAACAGAAGGAACUUUUUCCUUGUUCCCUUUAAUAAAAAGGCAAGGAUAUUACAAUAUUUUCCUUUCCUCCUGUUUAUUCUGUACAAAGCACAACAUGGAUGGUGUUUAAUUUCUUUGGCUGGGAUGGAGGCAUGGAGGACACUAGGUGGUUUUAGGAGUUACGGGGGAACUACAGGGAGGAUUUACAGGAGGGCUAUAUCAGGGGAUGAUGGAGAUUAAGGGGUGAAAUCAAGAGGUAAAUUGGUGAGCAGGAAGUAUUAGGGGUUACAAAGUAGAACAAGGGAUUUCAGUAGUUGGGGGUGACACAUAUCAAGGUUGUUAGGAGCAUGGGGGACACAGAGAAAUGUUAGCAGAUGGGACGCACACACACCAGGACAGGGGGCAUUGGGACUACGGCGAGGAUAACAGAGGGAGAUGUUACUAUGGAAGGGAGAAAGACAUGAGGAGAUGUUAGGAGUUAUGGUGGGGGAACAGAAAGUAUGUUAGCAAGUGGGGAAGGAAACACACAUGACAAGGGGUUAGAGAUUAGAUAGAGAAUACUAAGAAUUAUUUGGGGUUACUGUGUGUAUGUGGGGGUGUGGAGAACAGGGGAUAGGUCAGUGGGAGGAAAGGCAAUCCACAGCAGGUUUCAGGCUUAGAUAAGGGAGAAACACACCGGGUGCCUGACAGGGGGAUAGUGGCAGAUGCAGGAAACAAUAACUGUUAGGGGUGACGGAUGGAGAUACAGGAGAGAUGUUGGCCAGCCAGAGAGGGAGACAGAAGGGGUAUGUGUGUUUGGGGUCCAAUGGGGAAAAGAGGAGAGACACCGGUAUCUAACAGGGAGGGAGGGAGCACACAGGAAGGGGAAGACACAGAAAUCUGAUAGAAGGAUGUUAGCAGGUGGUGGAAGUGGUGGGACACAAGGAAUUAUUGGGAGUAAAGGUUACGGGGGGUAGGGAGCACCAUGGGGUCUGGGAAGGAUGUUAGCAGGUGGUGGAAGUGGUGGGACACAAGGAAUUAUUGGGAGUAAAGGUUACGGGGGGUAGGGAGCACCAUGGGGUCUGGGAAGGAUGUUGGCAGGUGGUGGAAGUGGUGGGACACAAGGAAUUAUUGGGAGUAAAGGUUACGGGGGGUAGGGAGCACCAUGGGGUCUGGGAAGGAUGUUGGCAGGUGGUGGAAGUGGUGGGACACAAGGAAUUAUUGGGAGUAAAGGUUACGGGGGUAGGGAGCACCAUGGGGUCUGGGAAGGAUGUUGGCAGGUGGUGGAAGUGGUGGGACACAAGGAACUAUUGGGAGUAAAGGUUACGGGGGGUAGGGAGCACCAUGGGGUCUGGGAAGGAUGUUGGCAGGUGGUGGAAGUGGUGGGACACAAGGAAUUAUUGGGAGUAAAGGUUACGGGGGGUAGGGAGCACCAUGGGGUCUGGGAAGGAUGUUGGCAGGUGGUGGAAGUGGUGGGACACAAGGAAUUAUUGGGAGUAAAGGUUACGGGGGUAGGGAGCACCAUGGGGUCUGGGAAGGAUGUUAGCAGGGGGUGGAAGUGGUGGGACACAAGG